UGGUCUAGCCANGCGAGUCAUUGUAGCAAUACAAGGCGGACGGCUCAGUAACACGUAGUCAACCUAACUCGUGGACGUGGAUAACCUCGGGAAACUGAGAAUAAACCACGAUAGAUCAUAGUGCCUGGAAUGGCUUAUGGUCCAAACAGUUUACUGCCAUGGGAUGGGACUGCGGCCUAUCAGCUUGUUGGUGAGGUAAUGGCCCACCAAGGCGAUUACAGGUACGGGCUCUGAGAGGAGUAGCCCGGAGAUGGGUACUGAGACACGGACCCAGGCCCUAUGGGGCGCAGCAGGCGAGAAACCUUAGCAAUGUGCGAAAGCACGACUGGGUCAGUCCGAGUGAUUCCUGAUAAAGGAGUCUUUUGCCUGUCCUAAAAGCACAGGUGAAUAAGGGGUGGGCAAGUCUGGUGUCAGCCGCCGCGGUAAUACCAGCACCUCGAGUGGUCAGGACGUUUAUUGGGCCUAAAGCAUCCGUAGCCGGCUCUGCAAGUCUUCGGUUAAAUCCACCUGCUCAACAGAUGGGCCGCUGGAGAUACUACAGAGCUAGGGAGUGGGAGAGGCAGACGGUAUUCAGUGGGUAGGGGUAAAAUCCUCUGAUCCAUUGAGGACCACCAGUGGCGAAGGCGGUCUGCCAGAACACGUUCGACGGUGAGGGAUGAAAGCUGGGGGAGCAAACCGGAUUAGAUACCCGGGUAGUCCCAGCUGUAAACGAUGCAAACUCGGUGAUGCAUUGGCUUAUGGCCAAUGCAGUGCCGCAGGGAAGCCGUUAAGUUUGCCGCCUGGGAAGUACGGACGCAAGUCUGAAACUUAAAGGAAUUGGCGGGGGAGCACCACAAGGGGUGAAGCCUGCGGUUCAAUUGGAUUCAACGCCGGAA
rnacentral:rRNA from 1 species